GACGAACGCUGGCGGCGUGCUUAACACAUGCAAGUCGAACGGACAGGCCCUGCUUUUGUGGGGUGCUCGAGUGGCGAACGGGUGAGUAACACGUGAGUAACCUGCCCUUGACUUUGGGAUAACUUCAGGAAACUGGGGCUCAUACCGGAUAGGAGAUCCUGCUGCAUGGUGGGGGUUGGAAAGAUUCGGCGGUUGGGGAUGGACUCGCGGCUUAUCAGCUUGUUGGUGGGGUAGUGGCUUACGAAGGCUUUGACGGGUAGCCGGCCUGAGAGGGUGACCGGCCACAAUGGGACUGCGAGAGGGCCCAGAAUCCUACGGGAGGCAGCAGUGGGGAAUAUUGCACAAUGGGCGGGAGCCUGAUGCAGCAACGCCGCGUGCGGGAUGACGGCCUUUGGGUUAUAAACCGCUUUCGCCGGUGACGAAGCGUGAGUGACGGUAAUGGGUAAAGAAGCACCGGCUAACUACGUG
rnacentral:rRNA from 1 species